CCCGCACGCGCCGCGGGCGCAAACCCAGUGGGCCGAGGGGCUUUGGGACGCGAAAGGGGAGCUUUUCACCGUGACUCUGACCCCGCCCCGACGGCACCGCCGGCCGCGUUGCUACUUUGUUGCCCUCCUGGAGCCUUGCCGUCUAGACACAGUACCGAGCCCUGUACAAGAGUCUUCAGCAUGUUCUGGAGGUGCUGAAUGAGGUGACAGCACCCUGGGGUCUAGUCCCUGAUGAACCCUUUGCAAGCUGGGUGACCUCUGAGCCUGUUUCUUCUGCUGCAACGUGAGAGGGCUGAGCAGACCAGAUGUGAGGACUCUCUGCCCAAAGGGCCACUUCACCUGCACCCUUCGUCCAGGGGACCAGCCCUGGCAGUCUCGUUUGCCAAGUGUUCUCUGCCCAGUCUGUGUGAUCUCAGCAGUGUCCUCUCCUUGGGAUGUUUGAGCAUAUAACUCACUAGCAGACGCAGCUGGAUUAGUGCCUCAGGGAGCUCAGGUCUGCACCCACCACAUGAUCGUGCCCUCACUAAGCCCGCCCAUGAUCCGAUUGCCCAGGUGUGCUGCAUUGAGGAAUCUUACCUCCUGGAUAAGAUUAUAAAUAUCUAACUAAAACUCUAGCUAUUUAAAGAGCAGAACUCUGUUGGAGCUGAGAGCCCCGCUCCCAGCUGUCUCAGCUGCUAUCAGGAAUUCUGCGGCUGCCACUCCCUCGGUUCUCAGCUGGCUCAGUGAUUCAGAAAACAUCUCUCCCCACCCACCCUAACAGCUCAACCCCCAAUUCUUUUGUCCUUCCCUACUUAAGUAUCUUUGUGACUAGCUCCCAAAUAUAGGCUACGUGGCUCCUUCGUUUAAUCAGGCAGAAACAGCAGUCUGGCGCUGAGCGUCCGCGGUGCUCCAGGAAGGGAGCCGCCCUUUCCCAUGCAUCUCAUUUAAUGGUCCUCUUUCCCACGGCGGGUAUUAUUCACACUUUCACAGAUGAGGAAACCAAGUCUGAGAGAGGCCAAGUAACUUGUCCCGGCCACACAUUCGGAUUCUAGCCCCUUCUUUUUUAAAAAUUUUAUUGUAUUGGGGUAAGAACACUUAACAUGAGAUCUAUUCUCUUAGCGAAGGGUGCACUAUGUUAUCGUUGACUAUAGGUUCAAUGUUCCACAGCAGACCUCUAGAACUUGUUCAUCUUGCCCAACUGAAACUUUGUACUUGCUGAUUAGUAAAUCCCCAUUGUCCGGACCCUAACUUCUUAAACAAGAAGCAGGACCCUGGAGCCCUGGGCUGUAUGGAUACUGGCACAGUCCAACAGGACUUUUCAGCUGCAAUGGAACUGAUUGGAAACUGAUGAAACAGGAAGAAUAGUUUUAUCCAAUGCUCAUCCCACUCUGGGGACGCACUGGGCAGCUGGCCUCCUCUCCAAGGCCCUGACAGAGGCCAAGACUUCUCCACCUUCUCAUCUGGCUCCCACUCAACAGAACAGCUGGAGAAGUGGCACCUCAAGGGCUCCCGGCUAUUUUUAUGUGGCCAUCUGCCCUCCAGCGCAGGCCUGGCAGGCAGCAACACGGCCCAGGAAUGCCACAGCAGGUAAAGGAUGUUUAUUUCCAAGCACUGAUGGGUGCCUACUGUGUGCCAAGCUCCCUUCCAGGUUAUAUGUUUGGAUCUACUGGAACAGCAUCCACCAGCUCUUCAGAUCCAAGAAGAGAUGGGUCGAGGUGUCUGGAGCCCUGGGCUGGCAACUGGUGGGAUUUUGAGACAGGCAAUUAAAUUCUAAAUUCUAGGCUUCCUCGUGUGUAGAGUAAUCAUGAUAAUGUUGAUCUUACUAUUGUUAUGAAAAUCAAAUACAACUAUAUUUAAACCAUAGACCCAAUGGGCAUUUGGGGGAGCAGUUUUGCAGCCAUCCAGGCAGCCCUGACUCCCGCCCUUCCAGUGACUGUGAGCACCUCACUCCCUGGGUGAAAUCUUUUUCUGCUUGAACUGUGUAGAAUGACUGUUCUUCCUACAGCAAAUCCUGCCUGAAAAGGGCAACUCAGAGAAUGAAAGAAGGGCCACCCACAGCCCUGGGGCAGCCGCCAGAGCGAAAAGGGCCCUGAUGCAGCUGGACCUUCACUCUCUCUCCUGUUUCUACUUGGUUUGGCCUCUGCAUCUUUCUCUUAGGCUUUUUAUGUGGCAGAGGCCACGGAUGCUGCUUGGACCAGCCUGGGCCACAUGGUGAUUUUACUUUUGGCAGCUUCACCCAAACACUGUAGAGUUGGGUACCAGCUGUUCCUCAUAGAAGGGCGUUUGUGUCACCUGAAGAAUGGGAAGGGAUGCUUUGCAGAGAGAAGCAACCCGUGACACGGGAACUUUUAACCAAGACAACUAAGACAAGCAGUGGCCUCUGGCACCCGGGGGCUGUGUUUGCUGUUGCUGAGUGAUCCAGCACACCACCCACCCCAAGACGCAGUGGCCUAAAAGACAGGCCUUUCUUUUCCCCUCCUCCAGCUGCUGCCUGGCCGGCUGCUCUGCAGGCCACCGGGGUGAGGCUCUAGGCUGGGGGCAGGUCCAGAUCUGCUACAUGUAUCUCACUUUGGGCCCCUGCUGAAAGGGCAGCGGCUACCUGGUCAUUUUCUUGUUAUGAUGAUCACUAGGGUGCCUGAGGCUGGGCCAGGCAGGCCAGGCCAGGCAUGCGAACGGAAGGCUCAGCUCAGGUCCUGUCUGCUAAGACGCCAAGCCUGCCGUCACCGGCUCCAGCACCAGGAAGGAGAAACAACCCGGUCUCCCUGGGAGCGUGAGAGAUGAGUGUGCUCUGAGUGGCAGGGCGGAGACUCAUGCUCGACGACCUGGCUUAAUUUGAGGGUUUGCUUUUACAAACUGUUCUUCUCACGUUUGUGACUGGCUUUAGAUAUUUUUAUUAUUGGUUGUUAUGUUUUUUUGUUUUUUGCAGCUAUCAGGAUCUACGUGUAUUUCUGUCCUCAUGUAAUGAAACCUUACUGGUUUUGUUUGUAUUACUAUUUUCA